rnacentral:piRNA from 1 species
UGGGCACCCCGCAGGUGAGGACCCUCUGG